rnacentral:rRNA from 1 species
GAUGAACGCUGGCGGCGUGCCUAAUACAUGCAAGUCGAGCGAACAGACGAGGAGCUUGCUCCUCUGACGUUAGCGGCGGACGGGUGAGUAACACGUGGAUAACCUACCUAUAAGACUGGGAUAACUUCGGGAAACCGGAGCUAAUACCGGAUAAUAUAUUGAACCGCAUGGUUCAAUAGUGAAAGACGGUUUUGCUGUCUCUUAUAGAUGGAUCCGCGCCGCAUUAGCUAGUUGGGAAGGUAACGGCUUACCAAGGCGACGAGGCGUAGCCGACCUGAGAGGGUGAUCGGCCGCACUGGAACUGAGACACGGUCCAGACUCCUACGGGAGGCAGCAGUAGGGAAUCUUCCGCAAUGGGCGAAAGCCUGACGGAGCAACGCCGCGUGAGUGAUGAAGGUCUUCGGUUCGUAAAACUCUGUUAUUAGUGAAGAACAAAUGUGUAAGUAACUAUGCACGUCUUGACGGUACCUAAACAGAAAGCCCCGGCUAACUACGUG